CUUGUUCCUGCAUGGCACAGAGCAGAAAAAUACAUGUGCUCUUUACAAGUGGAAAGAUUGUGAAGAGAGAUUGGGGGACAAGCUGUGGCUAAUCGAUCCAAGCAGAGAAAACUGACCAAACCUGGAUCAAUGCGAUUAUCUUCUUUUGGGAAUUUGAAAAUUGAAAAGGACAUGCUCAGAGUGAGAAGAGUUUGUCGGAGGUGAAUUAUUUCACACUAGAAACAGAGACAAAAUGUUCAUUAUUUCCCCUGAGUUUCCAGGAAUACUUUCCUUCUUUAAUCCUAUUUCAUUCCAUAUUUAAGGAACUGGGGUGAUUACAGUAAGUUAGAAAUGCUGUAAAUCUUAAUUACUAC
rnacentral:lncRNA from 1 species